rnacentral:tRNA from 1 species
GGGGGCGUAGCUCAGCUGGUAGAGCGCCCGCUCGACAAGCGGACGGCCGCAGGUUCAAGUCCUGCCACUCCCACCA